rnacentral:lncRNA from 1 species
AACCUUUUCUACUGAGGACAUGGUUCUUAUGCUGACAAAGAUGAUGCUUUUAAUUCAAGCAGAAACUGCAGGUUAUUUUAGUUUCUUACCAAUAAGUACUACCGUAUGCAACAAUGCUAUAAGGCAUUCUGUAUUCCGAAUUCUUAUUUCUUUUUUUCCCCUAUUAUCUUAGCACCAUUGACUUUAGUUAUACUGUGGGUCCAGGGUCCUUUGUCGUGGGCAAAUUUCCAACAGAAGUGCAUUUUAAGACAUCUGGUUUCCUCACUCGGGGUCCAACUGACACCUAGCUGCUUUUUGGGAGAAUAUCCUGCACAAUCACAGCUAUUACCUAAAGCACU